AAUUUUCAACCCAGGGCUGAGUUCAACCCCGGGGUUGAAAUUUCAACCCUGCUUCAGCUAGCAGGGUUGAAAUCCCAACCCCGGGGUUGAACUCAGCCCUGGGUUGAAAA